UCCGGUUUGGCACCGGCAGUCUCCUACGAGUCCCCGGCAUAAUCCGCUGGCAACAUAGGAUAGGGGUUGCGCUCGUUGCGGGACUCAACCCAACACCUCACGGCACGAGCUGACGACAGCCAUGCAGCACCUGAGCAGGAUGGUAUUGCUACCUCGUUGGGCUUUCACCCUUCUACUACCUGCAUGUCCAGCCUGGGUAAGGUUCUUCGCGUUGCGUCGAAUUAAACCACAUGCUCCACCGCUUGUGCGGGCCCCCGUCAAUUCCUUUGAGUUUCAGCCUUGCGACUGUACUCCCCAGGCGGCAUAUUUAACGCGUUAGCUCCGGCACGGACAGAAUGAACUGCCCACACCUAGUGCCCAUCGUUUAGGGCGUGGACUAC
rnacentral:misc_RNA from 1 species